AUUGACGGAGAGUGUGAUGCUGGCGCAGGACGAAGGCUGGCGGCGUGCUUAACGCAUGCCAGUCGAACGGUGAAGCCCUUCGUGGUGGCUCAGUGGCGAACGGGUGAGGAACACGUGGGCAAUCUGCCCUGCACUCUGGGACAAGCCCUGGCAACGGGGUCUAAUACCGGAUAUUACCUGGGAGUGCAUGCUCCUGGGUGUAAAGC
rnacentral:rRNA from 1 species